GGAAGUAAAAGUCGUAAACAAGGUUUCCGUAGGUGAACCUGCGGAGGGAUCAUUACAAGUUGACCCCGGCCCUCGGGCCGGGAUGUUCACAACCCUUUGUUGUCCGACUCUGUUGCCUCCGGGGCGACCCUGCCUCCGGGCGGGGGCCCCGGGUGGACAUUUCAAUCUCUUGCGUAACUUUGCAGUCUGAGUAAAUUUAAUUAAUAAAUUAAAACUUUCAACAACGGAUCUCUUGGUUCUGGCAUCGAUGAAGAACGCAGCGAAAUGCGAUAAGUAAUGUGAAUUGCAGAAUUCAGUGAAUCAUCGAAUCUUUGAACGCACAUUGCGCCCCCUGGUAUUCCGGGGGGCAUGCCUGUUCGAGCGUCAUUUCACCACUCAAGCCUCGCUUAGUAUUGGGCGACGCGGUCCGCCGCGCGCCUCAAAUCGACCGGCUGGGUCUUUCGUCCCCUCAGCGUUGUGGAAACUAUUCGCUAAAGGGUGCCGCGGGAGGCCACGCCGUGAAACAACCCCAUUUCUAAGGUUGACCUCGGAUCAGGUAGGGAUACCCGCUGAACUCAAGCAUAUCAAUAAGCGGAGGAAAAGAAACCAACAGGGAUUGCC
rnacentral:rRNA from 1 species